GUCCCUUCGGGGACAUUUUAUAAAAUUGAAGCGAUACAGAGUAGAUUAGCAUGGCCCCUGCACAAGGAGAUUCUGCUUUGAAUUAGAAGAAUGAAAGUGAC
rfam:Cucumis sativus cultivar 9930 chromosome 6, whole genome shotgun sequence.